rnacentral:lncRNA from 12 species
GAAAAGAAGAAACACUACAUUAUAACUUCAUAAUAUCCCAGGACAUAAGAAAAAAAAAACUUGUUCGAAAUGUCAUAUUUGCAUUCAGUAUUGCCCCACUGCUGGAGCUUUUCUUGUGCCUCCUCUUGAUGAAAAUCACCUGGAUGUUUUUCAAAGAAAAAAAUGAAAAAAG